rnacentral:tRNA from 1 species
GGUGUAGUUCAGUGGUAGAACUGCUUGUCUAGCAUGCAAAAGGCCCUGGGUGUGAGUCCCAGUACC